GAUGAACGCUAGCUACAGGCUUAACACAUGCAAGUCGAGGGGCAGCAUGAACUUAGCUUGCUAAGUUUGAUGGCGACCGGCGCACGGGUGAGUAACACGUAUCCAACCUUCCGUUUACUCAGGGAUAGCCUUUCGAAAGAAAGAUUAAUACCUGAUAGUAUGGUGAGAUUGCAUGAUAGCACCAUUAAAGAUUUAUUGGUAAACGAUGGGGAUGCGUUCCAUUAGGUAGUAGGCGGGGUAACGGCCCACCUAGCCGACGAUGGAUAGGGGUUCUGAGAGGAAGGUCCCCCCACAUUGGAACUGAGACACGGUCCAAACUCCUACGGGAGGCAGCAGUGAGGAAUAUUGGUCAAUGGGCGAGAGCCUGAACCAGCCAAGUAGCGUGAAGGAUGAAGGUCCUACGGAUUGUAAACUUCUUUUAUACGGGAAUAAAGUAUCCUACGUGUAGGAUUUUGUAUGUACCGUAUGAAUAAGCAUCGGCUAACUCCGUGCCAGCAGCCGCGGU
rnacentral:rRNA from 1 species